AGGACGAACGCUGGCGGCGUGCUUAACACAUGCAAGUCGAACGAGGCACUUGUGCCUAGUGGCGAACGGGUGAGUAACACGUGAGCAACCUGCCCUUGGCUCUGGGAUAGCCUCCGGAAACGGGGAUUAAUACCGGACAUGACCUUGGUCUGCAUGGACUGAGGUGGAAAGUUUUUCGGCCAGGGAGGGGCUCGCGGCCUAUCAGCUUGUUGGAGGGGUAACGGCCCACCAAGGCGACGACGGGUA
rnacentral:rRNA from 1 species